GAAAACACUUCAGUGUUUGUGGCAUAACCUUUAUGGAGUAAACUUUCCUGUGAUUGGCUGGUAGCAGUCAGGGAAAAUGUUACGGUCGGAUGUAGAGACCGGAGGAUCUGAGACUUUGAGACGUUCCAUUUAUAAUUUUGGAUCUGAACGCUGACGUCUCUACGUGUCCCACAACAAGCCAGUAGCGUUGCUAAGCAACACACAGCUUAUCAGGAUGGACAGUCAGGUCUCACAUCAGCCAGGAAGGUGACAUGGUUCGCUAAAUCGUUCAACAAACACGACAGCUCAGAUAAGGUCAGGAGAUCCAGCUGUGCAACAAGGCUCUGAUAAACCUUUUCUGUGUUGGAGACAGUGGGUAACCUUCCCUGUGGGUGGAAAUUACAAUAACAACUGACAGAAUUGUAAAAACCAGACAAACAGCAGUAAAUGAACUGAUUUUUAAAGGAUUGUUCAACUUUUUACUCAAAUAUGAAUUUAAUUUGCAGAUGUAAAAGGCUGACUUGUGUCCGCAUUGGGAAAAAGCAUCAAACACAAAGUACU